GUAUGUGAAGGCGAUCUGGCUGCAACAUCUGUCAUCCCAUUGAUUACCAGAGUUGAUUCGAAAUGGCUGGUUAGGCCCGGUGUCCUCUUCAUCCCUCGAUGCUCCAUGUGCAUCUCUCCCGAAGUAGCUCAUUGGUUGGGUCAAAGAGGAUGACCACCCCCGUUUCCUUGGUCAAGGGUAUAUGAUUAGCUGUGCUUCCGUGCGAGAACCUCCAAACAAGCUCCCAAGAGUAAGACGUAAGCCAAAAAAGAUUCGUACAAAAAAGAAACAGAUAAUAGCAAAAUUUUCUUUUU
ensembl:misc_RNA 7SK 7SK RNA